UCGGGAAUUUUGGGCAAUGGGGGAAACCCUGACCCAGCCAUGCCGCGUGAGUGACGAAGGUCUUCGGAUUGUAAAGCUCUUUUAGCAGGGAAGAUAAUGACGGUACCUGCAGAAUAAGCCCCGGCUAACUUCGUGCCAGCAGCCGCGGUAAUACGAAGGGGGCUAGCGUUGUUCGGAAUUACUGGGCGUAAAGCGCACGUAGGCGGAUUGAUAAGUUAGAGGUGAAAUCCCGGGGCUCAACCUCGGAACUGCCUUUGAUACUGUUAGUCUCGAGUCCGAUAGAGGUGAGUGGAAUUCCUAGUGUAGAGGUGAAAUUCGUAGAUAUUAGGAAGAACACCAGUGGCGAAGGCGGCUCACUGGAUCGGUACUGACGCUGAGGUGCGAAAGCGUGGGGAGCAAACAGGAUUAGAUACCCAAGUAGUCCCUGAGCGGGCUGGCAAGGCGCAU
rnacentral:rRNA from 1 species